CCAUCUCCUCAGGUGUCGACCUCUGUGGUCGAGCCCUACAACAGUGUGCUGUCCACCCACUCCCUGCUGGAGCACACCGAUGUCUCCAUCCUGCUCGACAACGAGGCCAUCUACGACAUCUGCAGGCGCUCCCUGGACAUCGAGAGGCCCACCUACACCAACCUGAACCGCCUCGUCUCUCAGGUACUGACAACACCCGACAUGCCCUGCAUCUGGAUUGAACUGUUUUGCAACCUGUGAUGUGAAGCUGAGACUUUGGAACUUGUGCUGUUUGUCUUUGUGUAGGUGAUCUCAUCGCUGACCACCUCCCUGAGGUUCGACGGUGCCCUGAACGUGGACGUGACCGAGUUCCAGACCAACCUGGUCCCGUACCCUCGGAUCCACUUCAUGCUCUCGUCCUACGCGCCGGUCAUCUCGGCGGAGAAGGCGUACCACGAGCAGCUGUCGGUGUCGGAGAUCACCAACAGCGCGUUCGAGCCGUCGUCCAUGAUGGCCAAGUGCGACCCGCGCCACGGCAAGUACAUGGCGUGCUGCCUCAUGUACCGGGGCGACGUGGUGCCCAAGGACGUGAACGCGGCGGUGGCCACCAUCAAGACCAAGCGCACCAUCCAGUUCGUGGACUGGUGCCCCACGGGGUUCAAGUGCGGCAUCAACUACCAGCCGCCCACCGUGGUGCCCGGCGGCGACCUGGCCAAGGUGCAGAGGGCCGUCUGCAUGAUCUCCAACUCCACCAGCGUCGUCGAGGUCUUCUCCCGCAUCGACCACAAGUUCGACCUCAUGUACGCCAAGCGCGCCUUCGUGCACUGGUACGUGGGCGAGGGCAUGGAGGAGGGCGAGUUCUCCGAGGCCCGUGAGGACUUGGCCGCCCUGGAGAAGGACUACGAGGAGGUCGGCGCAGAGGGCGGCGACGACGAUGAUGGCGAGGAGGACAACGACUACUGAUCUGCUCGUCCGCUCGACGGAGGAUCCGUCUCCUCUGCCGCCUAUCUUUAACUACAUGUUGCUGUGCUGUCCUGUUUUGGAGACUUGUGUCUGGGUGUUGGGUUGUUAAGCCAUCGGUGCUUUCUAUGUCGCUGUUGAACUGCAUCAUUAGUACUUCGUGGAACAAGUGUCUCGCUUAAUUGAUGUUCUGUCCUGCUUCAUUCCAGUGUUUCUAGCCAACCUGUCUUGCUCCGUUCCUGUGGUCAUUUUUAGGAACAUUGGCGACCUGUCUCGAUCUAUAUGCGCAACUUAUCUGAUUGCGGAGCAAUCACUUGCCGGAUUGAGCCAAUCUUUAAAGCCCGAAAGCCGACCUGUCUCGAGCAACUGAAUUUGCUUCGCCAGAAAGCCGGCCUGCUGAAGCCAGUCCAUAUGAAGUUUUUGUCCAUUUUCGAUACUUACUGGCCGGCUACGAGGCUUCAUCCAGCGGUUCUGCUUCAUUUUGUCCCAUGCGCAUGGUGAGAUCAAUAGGUGUGCACAAAACGGCUGAGUAGGAUCAAUAGGAUCGUGCACCAAACCGGCGCUGUUCCCUAAAGCUUGGACUUGAUGAGUAGGGAUGGGUUUGUUCACAGUUCGCAGGACGUGCGGAACCAAUUCGGAGGAGAUGAAGAGGAGUAUGCAGAUUACCAUGGGCCUGAACCUGAUUUGGAGGAUCAAUUUGCAGGGAUGAAGCUCCAUGGAAGGGAGGAGGAAGAGCUAGAUUUCUCAGCGGAAGUUGAUGAUCUGAUUAAGGAUGUACGUUGGCUUGCCCUGUUUCGUGUCCAUACUACGAAACCCUUUAGCCACGCUGCGCUCUUGUCACAGAUGCGUAAUGCAUGGUCGGCGGCUCAAGGGGUGACGUUCAACAUCAAGGGACCCAAUUUGUUUCUGGUGCAAUGCCAUUGUCUAGGUGAUUGGAGGAGGAUUGUGGAUGGAGGGCCAUGGCUGUUUAGGAGGGCACCGGUGGUGAUCCAGGAGUAUGAUGGUUUUUCAAAUGUCAAAGGUUAUAGACUCAAUAAAAUUCCGGUAUGGGCAAGGGUGAAGGGGCUGCCGGAUGGUCUCACGAGAAGGAAAGAGUUAGCGGAGAAAGUUGCAGCUAAAGUAGGUGACCCACCUUUCACCGUGAUAAUGAAUGAGGGGAGAAUCAACCCAGCUAGUACCCUCCGGGUGAGGGUUUAUGUGGAUGUCAAUAGUCCGCUUGUCCGUUUUGUUCCAAUAACCUUGAAGGAGUAUAAAAGAUACAGUGUUUAUUAUGAGAAGCUACCGGACUUUUGCUUUGCGUGUGGUAAGAUGGGUCAUGUUGCAGACGAGUGUGGUGAUGGGAUUCAUGACCCAAACUCCUUUGAGUGGGGUGAGUGGCUGUUGUGGGAGCCUGAAGUGCCUACAGCCCAAGGUGUAGGAGGCCGAGGUAGAGGAGAUGGAGGUAGUAGGGGAAGAGGUUGGGAUGCAGGCAGGGGAGACCGAAGAGGUAGAGUAGGGAGAGGCCCGAUGGGCGGAAGGGGGAGAGGGGAUCCCGGAGCAGGGGUGCAGCAAGCUGGAACGCAUCAUAUGGAUGUGGAGGGCUAGGGAGACGGUGUAGGAGGUUUAGGGGAAAGGGGAGCGAGGAAGAGGCUGGUUGAGGCGGAUGGAAGCCUAAACGUCCGGGGGCAACAGCUCAAUCAUUUGGCUGGACGGGUAGCUGGUACUGUCAUGAUGAUCGAAGGGGGAUCUCAAGCGGCAAGCACAAGUGCUGUGAUCUCCACCCCGGAGAAGGACCCAAUUGUGAAGAGAAGGCGUCAGGAUGGAGAAGAAGGUGUUUUAGUGGAUCAAACAAGAGAGGCGGCCUCCCUCGAGGAGGGCCGCCGGGCCUGAUGAAGACAUUGUGCUGGAACUGUCGCGGAAUUGGCGACCCCGCGACAGUUAGGGAGCUCCGCGUCUCGUGGAGGCGUGUGCGCCGUCGAUCCUUUGCAUUGUUGAAACUCAACUUGCGAAGGCCCGAGUGGAGGGAUUGGCUGUUUCUUUUGGUUUUUCAGGAUGUUUUGCAGUUCCAAGUAACGGUCGUAGUGGUGGUUUAUGUAUUUUUUGGAAAGAUCAUGUUAAUCUGGCAAUAAAGAACUUUUCGCAGUACCACAUAGACUCAUGGAUUUCACAACCAGGUGCUGAUGAUUGGAGUUUAUCAUGCUUUUAUGGUGAAGCCAACAGAAGUUUGAGGCAUAACACAUGGGAGACGAUGAAGAGAUUACGAGGGGAAAGUACACUUCCUUGGGUGUGCAUUGGAGACUUUAACGAGGUGCUGCGCCCGGAGGAGCACAUGGGUACUAGCAUUCGAGACAGUGGUCAGAUCGUAGGCUUCAGAGAGGCUGUGGAUGUGUGUGAGCUUGCUGAUUUAGGCUACAAAGGCCUUGAUUGGACGUGGGAAAAGAGAGUCAGGGGAGGCGAGUUCUGUAGGGUGCGACUGGAUCGUGCGCUGGCUAGUCCUAGUUGGUCGGCGCUGUUCCCUUUUGCAUCUCUUGAGCACCUAACAGCAGCCAAGUCAGAUCACUGUCUCAUUCUGCUUAAUACAGAGCUGGAGACAACAAGUAUGAGGCACGCUCUAAAAAAACCCUUUCGAUAUGAGUGUAUGUGGGAAACAAAGGAAGAUUUUCAUCAAGUAGUGGAGGAAGUCUGGAACCGUAAUCAACCUUCUCUUUCAGUUUCGGACCUAGCUGCCAAGCUCAGUUCAGUUUCUGUAGCGCUAGCUCAGUGGGGACGCAUGUCGUUUGGAUCAGUCCGGCAGGAGCUUCGUUCGUUGCGACAUCAGCUAGCUACCCUACGGGCAGUCCCGGGCCGGGUAGGCCCAAGUGAGGAGGAGAAGCGAGUCCAAGAUCGUAUGAUCGAAGUUUCUCUGGCGGAGGAGAUCAUGAUGAGGCAGAGAUCACGAAUAAAAUGGCUCGCUGAAGGGGAUAAGAAUACUGGAUUUUUUCAGAAAAAAGCAAGUGCCCACAGGGCAAAAAAACAAGAUAACUCAGCUACAAAGAAACGAUGGUACAAUCAGCACUGAUUCGGAGGAGCUGGCACGCAUGGCUACUGAGUUUUACUCUAAUCUCUAUACUUCGGAAGGUACAAUUGGUAUGGAGGAAGUGCUCUCCCAUAUACCAUCAAGGGUAGAUGCUGAGAUGAAUACACGCCUGAAUAAGCCGUAUAGCAAAGAGGAGGUCAAAGAAGCGCUAUUCCAAAUGUUUCCUACAAAAGCUCCGGGACCUGAUGGAUUCCCGGCGCACUUCUUUCAAAGGCAUUGGGAUUUAUGUGGGGAAGAGAUUACGGGUAUGAUCAUAAGAGUGCUCGAUGGAGUUGACUCACCGUAGGAUAUCAAUCGUACGUUCAUUGUUAUGAUUCCGAAAGUUGCUAGUCCAAAGAUCUUAGGACAAUUUCGGCCAAUAAGCCUUUGUAAUGUAAUCUACAAGAUUGCAUCAAAGGUCUUAGCCAAUAGGCUGAAAAUGAUUCUUCCAGAGGUGAUUUCAGAAGAGCAGUCAGCGUUCGUUCCUAGACGUCUCAUCACGGAUAAUUUUAUAACUGCCUAUGAGAGUUUACACUAUAUGAAAACGAGAAGAGUAAAGAGUAACCGGUAUUGUGCGCUAAAACUGGAUAUGAUGAAAGCAUAUGAUCGACUGGAAUGGCCAUACUUGAAGGCGGUCAUGACGAAGUUGGGUAUUAGCCCGAGGUUCAUUGAUACUAUUAUGAGGUGCGUGUCGUCGGUGUCUUUUUCGGUGCUUUUUAAUGGAGGUGUGUUGGAUGAUUUCAGGCCUUCUUGUGGAGUUAGGCAAGGGGAUCCAAUAUCCCCCUAUUUGUUCGUCAUUGCAGCAGAGGGUCUAUCUUGUUUGCUGAAAAAUGGCAUCCGCGGUAUCAAGGUGGCACCGACGGCCCCGGAGGUCAAUCAUCUUCUGUUCGCAGAUGACAGUUUACUGUUUUUUGAGGCAUCAAAUGACGAAGCAAGGAGAGUCCGCGACUUGCUGCAGGUUUAUUGCAACGCCUGCGGCCAAAGAAUCAAUGCUGACAAGAGCUCUAUUUAUUUCAGUAAGGCAGUUCCGGACAGCUUGAGAGGUGAGAUCAAGGAGACCCUAGCAGUUCAUACUGAAUCUCUUUCGGAGAAAUACUUGGGUCUUCCAACGGAUGUUGGCAAAUCCAAGGAGGGAUGCUUUCGAUAUUUGAAGGAUAGGAUUUCGAAACAUGUGCAAGGGUGGAUGGAGAAGUGCCUCUCUGCAGGAGGAAAGGAGGUCUUAAUUAAAUCAGUUGCCCAAUCAAUACCAACAUAUUCGAUGUCAUGUUUCAAGCUGCCUCGCGUGGUCUUUGCAACCAUAUCAAUGGGCUUCUGAGGAAUUUUUGGUGGGGGAGUAAGAGGGGUGAAAGGAAGACAGCCUGGGUCUCCUGGAAUACUAUGACAAAACCAAAAUAUAUGGGUGGAAUGGGUUUCCGCGAUAUUGAGGUUUUUAUCUUAGCUUUAUUAGCUAGACAAGCUUGGAGGAUAUUACAAGAUCCGAGUUCAUUGAGUGCUCGUGUCUUGAAAUCAAGGUACUUCCCGGAGGGAGAGUUCUUGGAUGCGCCACUUGGACCAAAUGUUGGAAAUAUGCCCUAGAGGCAAUAAUAAAAUGGUUAUUAUUGUGUUUCCUUGUUCAUGAUAAUUGUCUAUUGUUCAUGCUAUAAUUGUAUUAACUGGAAACCGUAAUACAUGUGUGAAUACAUAGACCACAACAUGUCCCUAGUAAGCCUCUAGUUGACUAGCUCGUUGAUCAAUAGAUGGUUAUGGUUUCCUGACCAUGGACAUUGGAUGUCAUUGAUAACGGGAUCACAUCAUUAGGAGAAUGAUGUGAUGGACAAGACCCAAUCCUAAGCAUAGCACAAGAUCGUGUAGUUCGUUUGCUAAGAGCUUUUCUAAUGUCAAGUAUCAUUUCCUUAGACCAUGAGAUUGUGCAACUCCCGGAUACCGUAGGAAUGCUUUGGGUGUACCAAACGUCACAACGUAACUGGGUGGCUAUAAAGGUGCACUACAGGUAUCUCCGAAAGUGUCUGUUGGGUUGGCACGAAUCGAGACUGGGAUUUGUCACUCCGUAUGACGGAGAGGUAUCUCUGGGCCCACUCGGUAAUGCAUCAUCAUAAUGAGCUCAAUGUGACUAAUCAGUUAGCCACGGGAUCAUGUGUUACGGAACGAGUAAAGAGACUUGCCGGUAACGAGAUUGAACGAGGUAUUGGGAUACCGACGAUCGAAUCUCGGGCAAGUAACAUACCGAUAGACAAAGGGAAUUGUAUACGGGAUUGAUUGAAUCCCCGACAUCGUGGUUCAUCCGAUGAGAUCAUCGUGGAACAUGUGGGAGCCAAUAUGGGUAUCCAGAUCCCGCUAUUGGUUAUUGGCCGGAGAGGUGUCUCGGUCAUGUCUGCAUGGUUCCCGAACCCGUAGGGUCUACACACUUAAGGUUCGGUGAUGCUAGAGUUGUUAUGGGAAAUAGUAUGUGGUUACCGAAGGUUGUUCGGAGUCCCAAAUGAGAUCCCGGACGUGACGAGGAACUCCGGAGUGGUCCAGAGGUGAAGAUCGAUAUAUUGGACGAAGGGUAUUGGACUCCGGAAUUGUUCUGCGAGUACCGGGUGACGACCAGCGUGACCGAAAGGUGUUUCGGAGGCCCCGGCAAGCGUUGGGGGGCCUUAUGGGCCAAGGGGAGGGGGCACACCAGCCCACUAAGGGGCUGUGCGCCCCUCCCAACCCCUCUCACGUAACGUGGAGAGGUGGGGGCGCCUCCCCUAGGGCAGCCACCCCUCCCGGCUUGGGGGGCAAGUUUCCCAGGGGUGGGGGCGCCCAAACCCAUCUAGGGUUUCCCCUGUGGCCGCCGCCCCUCCCCUAGGGAACCCUAGGCCGCCUCCUCCACCCCCUUCCCCCUAUAUAUAGUGAGGGAGAGAGAGGGCAGUCGCACCCCUUUGCCUGGGGCAGCCCUCUCCUCCUCCAACUCCUCCUCCUCCGUAGUGCUUAGCGAAGCUCUGCCGGAGAACCACGAGCUCCAUUGCCACCAUGCCGUCGUGCUGCUGGAGUUCUCACUCAACUUCUCCUCUCCCCUUGUUGGAUCAAGAAGGAGGAGACGUCCCUGGGCUGUACGUGUGUUGAACGCGGAGGCGCCGUCCGUUCGGCGCUAGCUCGGAUUUUCCGUGAUUUGAAUCGCCGCGAGUACGACUCCAUCAACCGCGUUCUUGUAACGCUUCCGCUUAGUGAUCUUCAAGGGUAUGAAGAUGCACUCCCUCUCUCUCGUUGCUAGCAUCUCCUAGAUUGAUCUUGGUGACACGUAGGAAAAUUUUGAAUUAUUACUACGUUCCCCAACAGUGGUAUUAGAGCUAGGUCUAUGCGUAGAUUCUAUGCACGAGUAGAACACAAAGUAGUUGUGGGCGAUGAUUUGUUCAAUUUGCUUGCCGUUACUUGUCUUAUCUUGAUUCGGCGGCAUUGUGGGAUGAAGCGGCCUGGACCGACCUUACACGUACUCUUACGUGAGACAGGUUCCACCGACUGACAUGCACUUGAUGCAUAAGGUGGCUAGCGGGUGUCUGUCUCUCCCACUUUAGUCGGAUGGGAUUCGAUGAAGAGGGUCCUUAUGAAGGGUAAAUAGCAAUUGGCAUAUCACCAUUGUGGCUUUUGCGUAGGUAAGAAACGUUCUUGCUAGAAACCCAUAGCAGCCACGUAAAACAUGCAACAACAAUUAGAGGACGUCUAACUUGUUUUUGCAGGGUAUGCUAUGUGAUAUGGCCAAAAGGAUGUGAUGAAUUAUAUAUAUGUGAUGUAUGAGAUUGAUCAUGUUCUUGUAAUAGGAAUCAUGACUUGCAUGUCAAUGAGUAUGACAACCGGCAGGAGCCAUAGGAGUUGUCUUAAUUUAUUGUAUGACCUGCGUGUCAAUGAAAAAACGCCAUGUAAUUACUUUACUUUAUUGCUAACCGUUAGCCAUAGUAGAAGUAAUAGUUGGCGAGACAACUUCAUGAAGACACGAUGAUGGAGAUCAUGGUGUCAUGCUGGUGAUGAAGGUGAUCAUGCCGCGCCUCGAAGAUGGAGAUCAAAAGGCGCAAGAUGAUAUUGGCCAUAUCAUGUCACUUUAUGAUUUGCAUGUGAUGUUUGUCAUGUUUACAUCUUAUUUGCUUAGAACGACGGUAGCAUAAAUAAGAUGAUCCCUCACUAAAAUUUCAAGAGAUGUGUUCCCCCUAACUGUGCAUCGUUGCGAAGGUUCGUUGUUUCGAAGCACCACGUGAUGAUCGGGUGUGAUAGAUUCUAACGUUCGCAUACAACAGGUGUAAGCCAGAUUUACACAUGCGAAACACUUAGGUUGACUUGAUGAGCCUAGCAUGUACAGACAUGGCCUCGGAACACAAGAGACCUAAAGGUCGAACAUGAGUCGUAUAGUAGAUACGAUCAACAUGGAGAUGUUCACCGUUGAUGACUAGUCCGUCUCACGUGAUGAUCGGACAUGGUCUAGUCGAUUCGGAUCAUGUAUCACUUAGAUGACUAGAGGGAUGUCUAUCUAAGUGGGAGUUCAUUAAAUAAUCAGAUGAACUUAAUUGUCAUGAACAUAGUCAAAAGGUCUUUGCAAAUUAUGUCAUAGCUUACACUUUAGUUCUACUGUUUAAGAUAUGUUCCUAGAGAAAAUUUAGUUGAAAGUUGAAAGUAGCAAUUAUGCGGACUGGGUUCGUAAACUGAGGAUUGUCCUCAUUGCUGCACAGAAGGCUUAUGUCCUUAAUGCACCGCUCGGUGUGCUGAACCUCGAGCGUCGUGUGUAGAUGUUGCGAACAUCUGACAUACACGUUUUGAUGACUACGUGAUAGUUCAGUGCGUAAUGUUAACGGUUUAGAAUUGAGGCGCCAAAGACGUUUUUGAAACGUCGCAAAACAUAUGAGAUGUUCCAAAGACUGAAAUUGGGAUUUCAGACUGGUGCCCACGUCAAGAGGUAUGAGACCUCUGACAAGUUUGUUAAGCCUGCAAACUAAGGGAGAAAAGCUCAAUCGUUGAGCAUGUGCUCAGAUUGUCUGAGUACUACAAUCGCUUGAAUCGAGUGGGAGUUAAUCUUCCAGAUGAGAUAGUGAUGGUUCUCCAUAGUCACUGCCACCAAGCUAUUAGAGCUUCGUGAUGAACUAUAACAUAUCAAGGAUAGACAUGAUGAUCCUCGCGAUGUUUGACACCGCGAAAGUAGAAAUCAAGUAGGAGCAUCAAUUGUCGAUGGUUAGUAAAACCACUAGUUUCGAAAAGGGCAAGGGAAAGAAGGGAUACUUCAUGAAUCGGCAAAUCAGUUGCUGCUCUAGUGAAGAAACCCAAGGUUGAACCCAAACCCGAGACUAAGUGCUUCAGUAAUGAGGGGAAUAGUCACUGAAGCAGAACUACCCUAGAUACUUGGUAGAUGAGAAGGCAGGCAAGGUCGACAGAAGUAUAUUGGAUAUACAUUAUAUUAAUGUGUACUUUACUAGUACUCCAAGUAGCACUAGGUUAUUAGAUACCGGUUCAGUUGCUAAGUGUUGGUAACUCGAAAUAAAAGGCUACGGAAUAAACGGAGACUAGCUAAAGGUGAGAUGAUGAUAUGUGUUGGAAGUGUUUCCAAGGUUGAUGUGAUCAAGCAUCGCAUGCUCCCUCUACCAUCGAGAUUGGUGUUAAACCUAAAUAAUUGUUAUUUGGUGUUUGCGUUGAGCAUAGACAUGAUUGGAUUAUGUUUAUCGCAAUACGAUUAUUCAUUUAAGGAGAAUAAUGGUUACUCUGUCUAUUUGAAUAAUACCUUCAAUGGUCUUGCACCUAAAAUGAACGGUUUAUUGAAUCUCGAUCGUAGUGAUACACAUGUUCAUGCCAAAAGAUAUAAGAUAGUAAUGAUAGUACCACAUACUUGUGGCACUGCCACUUGAGUCAUAUUGGUAUAAAACGCAUGAAGAAGCUCCAUGUUGAUGGAUCUUUGGACUCACUCGUUUUUGAAAAGAUUGAGACAUGCGAACCAUGUCUAUUAAUAUAUAUGCAUGAAGAAAGUCCAUACAGAUGGAUCGUUUGGACUCACUUGAUUUUGAAUCACUUGAGACAUGCAAAUAAUACCACAUGGGCAAGAUGACUGAAAGGCCUCGUUUUAAGUAAGAUGGAACAAGAAAGCAACUUGUUGGAAGUAAUACAUUUUGAUGUGUGCAGUCCAAUGAGUGCUGAGGCAUGCAGUGGAUAUCGUUAUGUUCUUACUUCACAGAUGAUUUGAGUAGAUGCUGAGUAUAUUUACUUGAUGAAACACAAGUCUGAAUUCUUGAAAGGUUCAAGUAAUUUCAGAGUGAAGUUGAAGAUCGUCGUGACAAGAGGAUAAAAUGUCUGUGAUAUGAUCAUAGAGAUGAAUAUCUGAGUUAGGAGUUUGGCACACAAUUAAUACAUUGUGGAAAUUGUUUCACAACUAAUACCGCCUAGAACUCCAUAGUGCGGUGGUGUGUCCGAACAUCAUAACUGCACCCUAUUGGAUAUGGUGCAUACCAUGAUGUCUCUUAUCGAAUUACCGCUAUCAUUUAUGGGUUAGGCAUUAGAGACAACCACAUUCACUUUAAAUAGGGCACCACGCAAUUCCGUUGAGAUGACACCGUAUGAACUAUGGUUUAGAGAAACCUAAGCUGUCGUUUCUUAAAAGUUUGGGGCUGCGACGCUUAUGUGAAAAAGUUUCAGGCUGAUAAGCUCGAACCCAAAGCGGAUAAAUGCAUCUUCAUAGAAUACCCAAAACAGUUGGAUAUACCUCCUAUUUCAGAUCGGGAAGCAAAGUGAUUGUUUCUAGAAACAGGUCCUUUCUCGAGGAAAAGUUUCUCUCGAAAGAAUUGAGUGGGAGGAUGGUGGAGACUUGAUGAGGUUAUUGAACCAUCACUUCAACUAGUGUGUAGCAGGGCACAGGAAGUUGUUCCUGUGGCACCUACACCAAUUGAAGUGGAAGCUUAUGAUAGUGAUCAUGAAACUUCGGAUCAAGUCACUACCAAACCUCGUAGGUCGACAAGGAUGCGUACUAUUCAGAGUGGUACGCAAUCCUGUCUUGGAAGUCAUGUUGCUAGACAACAAUGAACCUACGAGCUAUGGGGAAGCGAUGGUGGGCCCAGAUUCCGACGAUUAGCUCGAGGCCAUAAAAUCCGAGAGAGGAUCCAUGUAUAAAAACAAAGUAUAGACUUUGGAAGAACUACUUGAUGGUCGUAAGGCUGUUGGGUGCAGAUGGAUUUUAAAAGGAAGACGGACAAUUAUGGUAAGUGUCACCAUUAAGAAAGCUCGACUUGUCGUUAAGAAGAUUUCCGACAAGUUCAAGGAGUUGACUACGAUGAGAUUUUCUCACUCGUAGCGAUGCUAAGAGUCUGUUGGAAUUAUAUUAGCAGUUACUGCAUUAUUUAUGAAAUCUUGCAAAUAGGAUGUCAAAACAUUGUUUCCUCGACGAUUUUCUUGAGGAAAGAUUGUAUGUGAUACAACAAGAAGGUUUUGUCAAUCCUGAAGAUGCUAACAAGUAUGCAAAGCUCCAGCAAUCCUUCUAAGGACUGGAGUAAGCAUCUCGGAGUUGGAAUGUACGCUUUGAUGAGAUGAUCAAAGAUUUUGGGUUUAUACAAAGUUUAUGAGAAACUUGUAUUUCCAAAGAAGUGAGUGGGAGCACUAUAGAAUUUUUGAUGAGUAUAUGUUGUUAACAUAUUGUUGAUCAGAAAUGAUGUAGAAUUUCUGGAAAGCAUACAUGGUUAUUUGAAAAGUGUUUUUCAAUGGAAAACCUGUAUUAAGCUACUUGAACAUUGAGCAUCAAGAUCUAUAAGGAUAGAUCAAAAACGCUUAAUAGUACUUUCAAAUGAAUACAUACCGUGACAAGAUUUUGAAGGAGUUCAAAAUAGAUCAGCAAAGAAGGAGUUCUUGGCUGUGUUACAAGGUAUGAGUAUUGAGUAAGACUCAAGACCUGACCACGGCAGAAGAGAGAAAAAGGACGAAGGUCGUCCCCUAUGCUUUAGACGUAGGCUCUACAGUAUGCUAUGCUGUGUACCGCACCUGAAGUGUGCCUUGCCAUGAAUUAGUCAAGGGGUACAAGAGUGAUCCAGGAAUGGAUCACAUGACAGCGGUCGAACUUAUCCUUAGUAACUAGUGGACUAAGGAAUUUUCUCGAUUAUGGAGGUGGAAAAAGAGUUCGUCGUAAAGGGUUACGUCGAUGCAAACUUUGACACUAAUCCAGAUGACUCUGAGUAGUAAACCGGAUUCGUAUAGUAGAGCAGUUAUUUGGAAUAGCUCCAAGUAGCGCGUGGUAGCUGCAUCUACAAGACGACAUAGAGAUUUGUAAAGCACACACGGAUCUGAAAGGUUCAGACCCGUUGACUAAUAACCUCUCUCACAAGCGAGAUAUGAACAAACCCCAUGGGUGUUGGAUUCAUUACAAUCACAUAGUGAUCUGAACUAGAUUAUUGACUCUAGUGCAAGUGGGAGACUGUUGGAAAUAUGCCCUAGAGGCAAUAAUAAAACGGUUAUUAUUGUAUUUCCUUGUUCAUGAUAAUUGUCUAUUGUUCAUGCUAUAAUUGUAUUAACUGGAAACCGUAAUACAUGUGUGAAUACAUAGACCACAACAUGUCCCUAGUAAGCCUCUAGUUGACUAGCUCGUUGAUCAAUAGACGGUUAUGGUUUCCUGACCAUGGACAUUGGAUGUCAUUGAUAACGGGAUCACAUCAUUAGGAGAAUGAUGUGAUGGACAAGACCCAAUCCUAAGCAUAGCACAAGAUCGUGUAGUUCGUUUGCUAAGAGCUUUUCUAAUGUCAAGUAUCAUUUCCUUAGACCAUGAGAUUGUGCAACUCCCGGAUACCGUAGGAAGGCUUUGGGUGUACCAAACGUCACAACGUAACUAGGUGGCUAUAAAGGUGCACUACAGGUAUCUCCGAAAGUGUCUGUUGGGUUGGCACGAAUCGAGACUGGGAUUUGUCACUCCGUAUGACGGAGAGGUAUCUCUGGGCCCACUCGGUAAUGCAUCAUCAUAAUGAGCUCAAUGUGACUAAUCAGUUAGCCACGAGAUCAUGCGUUACGGAAUGAGUAAAGAGACUUGCCGGUAACGAGAUUGAACGAGGUAUUGGGAUACCGACGAUCGAAUCUCGGGCAAGUAACAUACCGAUAGACAAAGGGAAUUCUAUACGGGAUUGAUUGAAUCCCCGACAUCGUGGUUCAUCCGAUGAGAUCAUCGUGGAACAUGUGGGAGCCAAUAUGGGUAUCCAGAUCCCGCUAUUGGUUAUUGGCUGGAGAGGUGUCUCGGUCAUGUCUGCAUGGUUCCCGAACCCGUAGGUUCUACACACUUAAGGUUCGGUGACGCUAGAGUUGUUAUGGGAAAUAGUAUGUGGUUACCAAAGGUCGUUCGGAGUCCCGGAUGAGAUCCCGGACGUGACGAGGAACUCCGGAGUGGUCCGGAGGUGAAGAUCGAUAUAUUGGACGAAGGGUAUUGGAGUCCGGAAUUGUUCUGGGAGUACCGGGUGACGACCAGCGUGACCGAAAGGUGUUUCGGAGGCCCCGACAAGCGUUGGGGGCCCUUAUGGGCCAAGGGGAGGGGCACACCAGCCCACUAAGGGGCUGUGCGCCCCUCCCAACCCCUCUCACGUAACGUGGAGAGGUGGGGGCGCCUCCCCUAGGGCAGCCACCCCUCCCGGCUUGGGGGGCAAGUUUCCCAGGGGUGGGGGCGCCCAAACCCAUCUAGGGUUUCCCCUGUGGCCGCCGCCCCUCCCCUAGGGAACCCUAGGGCGCCUCCUCCACCCCCUUCCCCCUAUAUAUAGUGAGGGAGAGAGAGGGCAGCUGCACCCCUUUCCCUGGUGCAGCCCUCUCCUCCUCCAACUCCUCCUCCUCCUCCGUAGUGCUUAGCGAAGCUCUGCCGGAGAACCACGAGCUCCAUUGCCACCAUGCCGUCGUGUUGCUGGAGUUCUCCCUCAACUUCUCCUCUCCCCUUGCUGGAUCAAGAAGGAGGAGACGUCCCCGGGCUGUACUUGUGUUGAACGCGGAGGCGCCGUCCGUUCGGCGCUAGAUCGGAUUUUCCGCGAUUUGAAUCGCUGCGAGUACGACUCCAUCAACCGCGUUCUUGUAACGCUUCCGCUUAGCGAUCUUCAAGGGUAUGAAGAUGCACUCCCUCUCUCUCAUUGCUAGCAUCUCCUAGAUUGAUCUUGGUGACACGUAGGAAAAUUUUGAAUUAUUACUACUUUCCCCAACACCUAACCCAUCUCAGGUGUGGCGCUCAAUGAGGGAAGGAAGAGAAGUUCUGUCCCUGGGCUUGAUUAAGCGUAUAGGUACGGGGGAAGACACUCAAAUUUGGCAGCACAACUGGCUACCGAGGGAUUUCAAGCUGAGACCGAUCUGCUCUCGAUCAGCUAACCCGCCCCUGUUGGUGUCUGAUCUCAUUAAUCAGUCAACCAGGAUAUGGAAUAGGCAAGUAUUAGAGGAUCACUUCAAUGCACCAGACAUAGAUGUCAUUCUGAAUAUUCCGGUUAGUACGCGAGUGCAUGAAGACUUCUGGGCGUGGCACUAUGAUCGUAGGGGCUUAUUCUCAGUACGUUCUACUUACAGAAUGAUCUCUGGAAUUAAAUUUCAGCGAGAAGACUGGUUGGAAAAUCGAACAAGCAACUCGAACCAAACGGCGACGAAGAAUGACUGGUCAAGACUGUGGAAAACAGAGGUGCCAUCAAAGGUCCGGGUUUUUGUGUGGCGUUUGGCCCACACGUCUCUGCCGACGGGAUCGACCAGACACGAGAGGAAGAUGGCUACAUCUCCAGUAUGCGCGAUAUGCUCGGUGACCGAAGAUACUUGGCGUCAUUCUCUUCUCAACUGCCGGAUGGCUCGGUGUGUCUGGUCUUUGGGAGAUGAAGGUAUUCUUGAGCAUGUGAUAUCAAAUCAAGAUGAAGACGCAAGACAGUGGCUCUUUUGUGUUGGAAAUAUGCCCUAGAGGCAUAAUAAAAUGGUUAUUAUUGUAUUUCCUUGUUCAUGAUAAUUGUCUAUUGUUCAUGCUAUAAUUGUAUUAACUGGAAACCGUAAUACAUGUGUGAAUACAUAGACCACAACAUGUCCCUAGUGAGCCUCUAGUUGACUAGCUCGUUGAUCAAUAGAUGGUUAUGGUUUCCUUACCAUGGACAUUGGAUGUCAUUGAUAACGGGAUCACAUCAUUAGGAGAAUGAUGUGAUGGACAAGACCCAAUCCUAAGCAUAGCACAAGAUCGUGUAGUUCGUUUGCUAGAGCUUUUCUAAUGUCAAGUAUCGUUUCCUUAUACCAUGAGAUUGUGCAACUCCCGGAUACCGUAGGAAUGCUUUGGGUGUACCAAACGUCACAACGUAACUGGGUGGCUAUAAAGGUGCACUACAGGUAUCUCCGAAAGUGUCUGUUGGGUUGGUACGAAUCGAGACUGGGAUUUGUCACCCCGUAUGACGGAGAGGUAUCUCUAGGCCCACUCGGUAAUGCAUCAUCAUAAUGAGCUCAAUGUGACUAAUGAGUUAGCCACGGGAACAUGCGUUACGGAACGAUUAAAGAGACUUGCCGGUAACGAGAUUGAACAAGGUAUAGGGAUACCGACGAUCGAAUCUCGGGUAAGUAACAUACCGAUAGACAAAGGGAAUUGUAUACGUGAUUGAUUGAAUCCCCAACAUCGUGGUUAAUCCGAUGAGAUCAUCGUGGAACAUGUGGGAGCCAAUAUGGGUAUCCAGAUCCCGCUAUUGGUUAUUGGCCGGAGAGGUGUCUCGGUCAUGUCUGCAUGGUUCCCGAACCCGUAGGGUCUACACACUUAAGGUUCGGUGACGCUAGAGUUGUUAUGCGAAAUAGUAUGUGGUUACCGACGGUUGUUCGGAGUCCCGGAUGAGAUCCCAGACAUGACAAGGAGCUCCGGAAUGGUCCGGAGGUGAAGAUCGGUAUAUUGGACGAAGGGUAUUGGAGUCCGGAAUUGUUCCGGGGGUACCAGGCUAUGGCCAGCAUGUCCGAAAGGGGUUUCGGGGGCCCGGCAAGCGUUGGGGGGCCUUAUGGGCCAAGGGGAAGGGGAAAACCAGCCCACUAAGGGGCUGUGCGCCCCUCCCAACCCCUCUCACGUAACCAGGAGAGGUGGGGGCGCCACCCCUAGGGCAGCCGCCCCUCCCGGCUUUGGGGGCAAGUUUCCUAGGGGGUGGGAGCGCCCAAACCCAUCUAGGGUUUCCCCUGGACGCCGCCUCCUCCUCCUCUAGAUCCAUCUAGAGGGGCCGGCCACCCUCUCCCCUUCCCCCUAUAUAUAGUGAGGGGGUGGGAGGGCAGCCACAACCCUUUGCCUGGCGCUGCCCUCUCCUCCUCCAACUCCUCCUCCUCCUCCGUAGUGCUUAGCGAAGCUCUGCCGGAGAACCACGAGCUCCAUUGCCACCAUGCUGUCGUGCUGCUGGAGUUCUCCCUCAACUUCUCCUCUCCCCUUGCUGGAUCAAGAAGGAUGAGACGUCCCCGGGCUGUACGUGUGUUGAACGCGGAGGCGCCGUCCGUUCGGCGCUAGAUCGGAUCUUCCGCGAUUUGAAUCGCCGCGAGUACGACUCCAUCAACCGCGUUCUUGUAACGCUUCCGCUUAGCGAUCUUCAAGGGUAUGAAGAUGCACUCCCUCUCUCUCGUUGCUAGCAUCUCCUAGAUUGAUCUUGGUGACACAUAGGAAAAUUUUGAAUUAUUGCUACGUUCCCGAACAGUGGCAUCAUGAGCUAGGUCUAUGCGUAGAUUCUAUGCAUGAGUAGAACACAAAGUAGUCGUGGGCGAUGAUUUGGUCAAUUUGCUUGCCGUUACUAGUCUUAUCUUGAUUCGGCGGCAUUGUGGGAUGUAGCGGCCCGGACCGACCUUACACGUACUCUUACGUGAGACAGGUUCCACCGACUGACAUGCACUUGAUGCAUAAGGUGGCUAGCGGGUGUCUGUCUCUCCCACUUUAGUCGGAUGGGAUUCGAUGAAGAGGGUCCUUAUGAAUGGUAAAUAGCAAUUGGCAUAUCACCGUUGUGGCUUUUGCGUAGGUAAGAAACGUUCUUGCUAGAAACCCAUAGCAGCCACGUAAAACAUGCAACAACAAUUAGAGGACGUCUAACUUGUUUUUGCAGGGUAUGCUAUGUGAUGUGAUAUGGCCAAAAGGAUGUGAUGAAUUAUAUAUAUGUGAUGUAUGAGAUUGAUCAUGUUCUUGUAAUAGGAAUCACGACUUGCAUGUCGAUGAGUAUGACAACCGGCAGGAGCCAUAGGAGUUGUCUUAAUUUAUUGUAUGAGCUGCAUGUCAAUGAAAAACGCCAUGUAAUUACUUUACUUUAUUGCUAACUGUUAGCCAUAGUAGUAGAAGUAAUAGUUGGCGAGACAACUUCAUGAAGACACGAUGAUGGAGAUCAUGAUGAUGGAGAUCAUGGUGUCAUGCUGGUGAUGAAGGUGAUCAUGCCGCGCCUCGAAGAUGGAGAUCAAAAGGCGCAAGAUGAUAUUGGCCAUAUCAUGUCACUUUAUGAUUUGCAUGUGAUGUUUGUCAUGUUUACAUCUUAUUUGCUUAGAACGACGGUAGCAUAAAUAAGAUGAUCCCUCACUAAAAUUUCAAGAGAUGUGUUCCCCCUAACUGUGCACCGUUGCGAAGGUUCGUUGUUUCGAAGCACCACGUGAUGAUCGGGUGUGAUAGAUUCUAACGUUCGCAUACAACGGGUGUAAGCCAGAUUUACACAUGCGAAACACUUAGGUUGACUUGACGAGCCUAGCAUGUACAGACAUGGCCUCGGAACACAAGAGACCGAAAGGUCGAACAUGAGUCAUAUAGUAGAUACGAUCAACAUGGAGAUGUUCACCGUUGAUGACUAGUCCGUCUCACGUGAUGAUCGGACACGGUCUAGUCGAUUAGGAUCAUGUAUCACUUAGAUGACUAGAGGGAUGUCUAUCUAAGUGGGAGUUCAUUAAAUAAUCAGAUGAACUUAAUUAUCAUGAACAUAGUCAAAAGGUGUUUGCAAAUUAUGUCAUAGCUUACGCUUUGGUUCUACUGUUUAAGAUAUGUUCCUAGAGAAAAUUUAGUUAAAAGUUGAUAGUAGCAAUUAUGCGGACUGGGUCCGUAAACUGAGGAUUGUCCUCAAUGCUGCGCAGAAGGCUUAUGUCCUUAAUGCACCGCUCGGUGUGCUGAACCUCAAGCGUUGUCUGUGGAUGUUGCAAACAUCUGACAUACACGUUUUGAUGACUAUGUGAUAGUUCAGUGCGUAAUGCUAACGGUUUAGAAUUGAGGCGCCAAAGACGUUUUUGAAACGUCGCAGAACAUAUGAGAUGUUCCAAAGACUGAAAUUGGGAUUUCAGACUAGUGCCCACGUCAAGAGGUAUGAGACCUCUGACAAGUUUGUUAAGCCUGCAAACUAAGGGAGAAAAGCUCAUUCGUUGAGCAUGUGCUCAGAUUGUCUGAGUACUACAAUCGCUUGAAUCGAGUGGGAGUUAAUCUUCCAGAUGAGAUAGUGAUGGUUCUCCAAAGUUACUGCCACCAAGCUACUAGAGCUUCGUGAUGAACUGUAACAUAUUAGGGAUAGAUAUGAUGAUCCUUGAGCAACUCGCGAUGUUUGACACCGCGAAAGUAGAAAUCAAGUAGGAGCAUCAAUUGUUGAUGGUUAGUAAAACCACUAGUUUCAAGAAGGGCAAGGGAAAGAAGGGAUACUUCAUGAAACGGCAAAUCAGUUGCUGCUCUAGUGAAGAAACCCAAGGUUGAACCCAAACCCGAGACUAAGUGCUUCUGUAAUGAGGGGAACGGUCACUGAAGCAAACUACCCUAGAUACUUGGUAGAUGAGAAGGCAGGCAAGGUCGACAGAAGUAUAUUGGAUAUACAUUAUAUUAAUGUUUACUUUACUAGUACUCCUAGUAGCACCAGGGUAUUAGAUACCGGUUCGGUUGCUAAGUGUUGGUAUCUCGAAAUAAAAGGCUACGGAAUAAACAGAGACUAGCUAAAGGUGAGAUGACGAUAUGUGUUGGAAGUGUUUCCAAGGUUGAUGUAAUCAAACAUCAUACGCUCCCUCUACCAUCGGGAUUGGUAUUAAACCUAAAUAAUUGUUAUUUGGUGUUUGCGUCGAGCAUAGACAUGAUUGGAUUAUGUUUAUCGCAAUACAGUUAUUCAUUUAAGGAGAAUAAUGGUUACUCUGUUUAUUUGAAUAAUACCUUCAAUGGUCUUGCACCUAAAAUGAAUGGUUUAUUGAAUCUCGAUCGUAGUGAUACACAUGUUCAUGCCAAAAGAUAUAAAAUAGUAAUGAUAGUACCACAUACUUGUGGCACUGCUAUUUGAGUCAUAUUGGUAUAAAACGCAUGAAGAAGCUCCAUGUUGAUGGAUCUUUGGACUCACUCAUUUUUGAAAUGAUUGAGACAUGCAAACCAUGUCUAUUGGUAGAUAUGCAUGAAGAAACUCCAUACAGAUGGAUUGUUUGGACUCACUUGAUUUUGAAUCACUUGAGACAUGCAAAUCAUAACACAUGGGCAAGAUGACUGAAAGGCCUCGUUUUCAGUAAGAUGGCACAAGAAAGCAACUUGUUGGAAGUAAUACAUUUUGAUGUGCGCAGUCCAAUGAGUGCUAAGGCAUGCAGUGGAUAUCGUUAUGUUCUUACUUCACAGAUGAUUUGAGUAGAUGCUGAGUAUAUUUACUUGAUGAAACACAAGUCUGAAUUAUUGAAAGGUUCAAGUAAUUUCAGAGUGAAGUUGAAGAUCGUCAUGACAAGAGGAUAAAAUGUCUGUGAUAUGAUCAUAGUGAUGAAUAUCUGAGUUACGAGUUUGGCACUCAAUUAAGACAUUGUGGAAAUUGUUUCACAACUAAUACUUCCUGGAACACCAUAGUGUGAUGGUGUGUCCGAACAUCAUAACUGCACCCUAUUGGAUAUGGUGCAUACCAUGAUGUCUCUUAUCGAAUUACCGCUAUCGUUUAUGGGCUAGGCAUUAGAGACAACCGCAUUCACUUUAAAUAGGGCACCACACAAUUCCGUUGAGACGACACCGUAUGAACUAUGUUUAGAGAAACCUAAGCUGUCGUUUCUUACAAGUUUGGGGCUGCGACGCUUAUGUGAAAAAGUUUCAGGCUCAUAAGCUCGAACCCAAAGCGGAUAAAUGCAUCUUCAUAGAAUACCCAAAACAGUUGGGUAUACCUCCUAUUUCAGAUCUGGAAGCAAAAGUGAUUGUUUCUAGAAACGGGUCCUUUCUCAAGGAAAAGUUUCUCUCGAAAGAAUUGAGUGGGAGGAUGGUGGAGACUUGAUGAGGUUAUUGAACCGUCACUUCAACUAGUGUGUAGCAGGGCACAGGAAGUUGUUCCUAUGGCACCUACACCAAUUGAAGUGGAAGCUUAUGAUAGUGAUCAUGAAACUUCGGAUCAAGUCACUUCCAAACCUCGUAGGUCGACAAGGAUGCGUACUACUUCAGAGUGGUACGUAAUCCUAUCUUGGAAGUCAUGUUGCUAGACAACAAUGAACCUACGAGCUAUGGAUAAGCGAUGGUGGGCCCGGAUUCCGACGAAUGGCACGAGGCCAUAAAAUCCAAGAGAGGAUCCAUGUAUAAAAACAAAGUAUAGACUUUGGAAGAACUACUUGAUGGUCGUAAGGCUGUUGGGAGCAGAUGGAUUUUAAAAGGAAGACAGACAAUGAUGGUAAGUGUCACCAUUAAGAAAGCUCAACUUGUCGUUAAGAUGUUUUCCGACAAGUUCAAGGAGUUGACUGCGAUGAGACUUUCUCACUCGUAGCGAUGCUAAGAGUCUGUUGGAAUUAUAUUUGCAGUUACUGCAUUAUUUAUGAAAUCUUGCAGAUAGGAUGUCAAAACAUUGUUUCCUCGAUGAUUUUCUUGAGGAAAGGUUGUAUGUGAUACAACCAGAAGGUUUUGUCAAUCCUGAAAGAUGCUAACAAGUAUGCAAAGCUCCAACAAUCCUUCUAAGGACUGGAGUAAGCAUCUCGGAGUUGGAAUGUAUGCUUUGAUGAGAUGAUCAAAUAUUUUGUGUUUUUACAAAGUUUAUGAGAAACUUGUAUUUCCAAAGAAGUAAGUGGGAGCACUAUAGAAUUUUUGAUGAGUAUAUGUUGUUAACAUAUUGUUGAUCAGAAAUGAUGUAGAAUUUCUGGAAAGCAUACAGGGUUAUUUGAAAAGUGUUUUUCAAUGGAAACCCUGGAUUAAGCUACUUGAACAUUGAGCAUCAAGAUCUAUAAGGAUAGAUCAAAAACACUUAAUAGUACUUUCAAAUGAAUACAUACCGUGACAGGAUUUUGAAGGAGUUCAAAAUAGAUCAGCAAAGAAGGAGUUCUUGGCUGUGUUACAAGGUGUGAGUCUUGAGUAAGACUCAAGACCUGACCACGGCAGAAGAGAGAGAAAGGACGAAGGUCGUCCCCUAUGAUUUAGACGUAGGCUCUACAGUAUGCUAUGCUGUGUACCGCACUUGAAGUGUGCCUUGCCAUGAGUUAGUCAAGGGGUACAAUAGUGAUCUAGGAAUGGAUCACAUGAAAGCGGUCGAACUUAUCCUUAGUAACUAGUGGACUAAGGAAUUUUCUCGAUUAUGGAGGUGACAAAAGAGGUCGUCGUAAAGGGUUACGUCGAUGCAAACUUUGACACUAAUCUGGAUGACUCGGAGUAGAAAACCAGAUUCGUAUAGUAGAGCAGUUAUUUGGAAUAGCUACAAGUAGUGCGUGGUAGCUGCAUCUACAAGAUGACAUAGAGAUUUGCAAAGCACACACGGAUCUAAAAGGUUCAGACCCGUUGACUAAAAACCUCUCUCGUAAGCAUAAAAUGAUCAAACCCUAGAACUCAAUGAGUGUUAAUCACAUGAUGAUGUGAACUAGAUUAUUGACUCUAGUAAACUCUUGGGUAUUGUUCACAUGGCGAUGUGAACUUUGAGUGUUAAUCACAUGGUGAUGUGAACUAGAUUAUUGACUCUAGUGCAAGUGGGAGACUGUUGGAAAUAUUCCCUAGAGGCAAUAAUAAAAUGGUUAUUAUUGUAUUUCCUUGUUCAUGAUAAUUGUCUAUUGUUCAUGCUAUAAUUGUUUUAACUGGAAACCGUAAUACAUGUGUGAAUACAUAGACCACAACAUGUCCCUAGUGAGCCUCUAGUUGACUAGCUCGUUGAUCAAUAGAUGGUUAUGGUUUCCUUACCAUGGACAUUGGAUGUCAUUGAUAACAGGAUCACAUCAUUAGGAGAAUGAUGUGAUGGACAAGACCCAAUCCUAAGCAUAGCACAAGAUCGUGUAGUUCGUUUGCUAGAGCUUUCCUAAUGUCAAGUAUCGUUUCCUUAGACCAUGAGAUUGCGCAACUCCCGGAUACCGUAGGAAUGCUUUGGGUGUACCAAACGUCACAACGUAACUGGGUGGCUAUAAAGGUGCACUACAGGUAUCUCCGAAAGUGUCUGUUGGGUUGGUACGAAUCGAGACUGGGAUUUGUCACUCCGUAUGACAGAGAGGUAUCUCUGGGCCCACUCGGUAAUGCAUCAUCAUAAUGAGCUCAAUGUGACUAAUGAGUUAGCCACGGGAUCAUGCGUUACGGAACGAGUAAAGAGACUUGCCGGUAACGAGAUUGAACAAGGUAUAGGGAUACCGACGAUCGAAUCUCGGGCAAGUAACAUACCGAUAGACAAAGGGAAUUGUAUACGGGAUUGAUUGAAUCCCCAACAUCGUGGUUCAUCCGAUGAGAUCAUCGUGGAACAUGUGGGAGCCAAUAUGGGUAUCCAGAUCCCGCUAUUGGUUAUUGGCCGGAGAAGUGUCUCGGUCAUGUCUGCAUGGUUCCCGAACCCGUAGGGUCUACACACUUUAGGUUUGGUUAUGCUAGAGUUGUUAUGGGAAAUAGUAUGUGGUUACCGAAGGUUGUUCGGAGUCCCGGAUGAGAUCCCGGACAUGACGAGGAGCUCCGGAAUGGUCCGGAGGUGAAGAUCGGUAUAUUGGACGAAGGGUAUUGGAGUCCAAAAUUGUUCCGCGGGUACCAGGCUAUGGCCAGCAUGUCCGAAAGGGGUUUCGGAGGCCCGGCAAGCGUUGGGGGGCCUUAUAGGCCAAGGGGAAGGGGAAAACCAGCCCACUAAGGGGCUGUGCGCCCCUCCCAACCCCUCUCACGUAACCAGGAGAGGUGGGGGCGCCACCCCUAGGGCAGCCGCCCCUCCCGGCUUUGGGGGCAAGUUUCCUAGGGGGUGGGGGCGCCCAAACCCAUCUAGGGUUUCCCCUGGCCGCCGCCUCCUCCUCUAGAUCCAUCUAGAGGGGCCGGCCCCCUCUCCCCUUCCCCCUAUAUAUAGUGAGGGGGUGGGAGGGCAGCCACAACCCUUUGGCUGGCGCUGCCCUCUCCUCCUCCAACACCUCCUCCUCCUCCGUAGUGCUUAGCGAAGCUCUGCCGGAGAACCACGAGCUCCAUUGCCACCAUGCCGUCGUGCUGCUGGAGUUCUCCCUCAACUUCUCCUCUCCCCUUGUUGGAUCAAGAAGGAUGAGACGUCCCCGGGCUGUACGUGUGUUGAACGCGGAGGCGCCGUCCGUUCGGCGCUAGAUUGGAUCUUCCACGAUUUGAAUCGCCGCGAGUACGACUCCAUCAACCGCGUUCUUGUAAUGCUUCCGCUUAGCGAUCUUCAAGGGUAUGAAGAUGCACUUCCUCUCUCUCGUUGCUAGCAUCUCCUAGAUUGAUCUUGGUGACACGUAGGAAAAUUUUGAAUUAUUGCUACGUUCCCCAACAGUGGCAUCAUGAGCUAGGUCUAUGCGUAGAUUCUAUGCACGAGUAGAACACAAAGUAGUUGUGGGCGAUGAUUUGUUCAAUUUGCUUGCCGUUACUAGUCUUAUCUUGAUUCGGCGGCAUUGUGGGAUUUAGCGGCCCGGACCGACCUUACACGUACUCUUACGUGAGACAGGUUCCACCGACUGACAUGCACUUGAUGCAUAAGGUGGCUAGCGGGUGUCUGUCUCUCCCACUUUAGUCGGAUGGGAUUCGAUGAAGAGGGUCCUUAUGAAGGGUAAAUAGCAAUUGGCAUAUCACCGUUGUGGCUUUUGCGUAGGUAAGAAACGUUCUUGCUAGAAACCCAUAGCAGCCACGUAAAACAUGCAACAACAAUUAGAGGACGUCUAACUUGUUUUUGCAGGGUAUGCUAUGUGAUGUGAUAUGGCCAAAAGGAUGUGAUGAAUUAUAUAUAUGUGAUGUAUGAGAUUGAUCAUGUUCUUGUAAUAGGAAUCACGACUUGCAUGUCGAUGAGUAUGACAACCGGCAGGAGCCAUAGGAGUUGUCUUAAUUUAUUGUAUGACCUGCGUGUCAAUGAAAAACGCCAUGUAAUUACUUUACUUUAUUGCUAACCGUUAGCCAUAGUAGUAGAAGUAAUAGUUGGCGAGACAACUUCAUGAAGACAUGAUGAUGGAGAUCAUGGUGUCAUGCCGGUGACGAAGGUGAUCAUGCCGCGCCUCGAAGAUGGAGAUCAAAAGGCGCAAGAUGAUAUUGGCCAUAUCAUGUCACUUUAUGAUUUGCAUGUGAUGUUUGUCAUGUUUACAUCUUAUUUGCUUAGAACGACGGUAGCAUAAAUAAGAUGAUCCCUCACUAAAAUUUCAAGAGAUGUGUUCCCCCUAACUGUGCACCGUUGUGAAGGUUCGUUGUUUUGAAGCACCACGUGAUGAUCGGGUGUGAUAGAUUCUAACGUUCGCAUACAACGGGUGUAAGCCAGAUUUACACAUGCGAAACACUUAGGUUGACUUGACGAGCCUAGCAUGUACAGACAUGGCCUCGGAACACAAGAGACCGAAAGGUCGAACAUGAGUCGUAUAGUAGAUACGAUCAACAUGGAGAUGUUCACCGUUGAUGACUAGUCCGUCUCACGUGAUGAUCGGACACGGUCUAGUCGAUUCGGAUCAUGUAUCACUUAGAUGACUAGAGGGAUGUCUAUCUAAGUGGGAGUUCAUUAAAUAAUCAGAUGAACUUAAUUAUCAUGAACAUAGUCAAAAGGUGUUUGCAAAUUAUGUCAUAGCUUACGCUUUGGUUCUACUGUUUAAGAUAUGUUCCUAGAGAAAAUUUAGUUGAAAGUUGAUAGUAGCAAUUAUGCGGACUGGGUCCGUAAACUGAGGAUUGUCCUCAAUGCUGCGCAGAAGGCUUAUGUCCUUAAUGCACCGCUCGGUGUGCUGAACCUCAAGCGUUGUCUGUGGAUGUUGCGAACAUCUGACAUACACGUUUUGAUGACUACGUGAUAGUUCAGUGCGUAAUGCUAACGGUUUAGAAUUGAGGCGCCAAAGACGUUUUUGAAACGUCGCAGAACAUAUGAGAUGUUCCAAAGACUGAAAUUGGGAUUUCAGACUAGUGCCCACGUCAAGAGGUAUGAGACCUCUGACAAGUUUCUUAAGCCUGCAAACUAAGGGAGAAAAGCUCAUUCGUUGAGCAUGUGCUCAGAUUGUCUGAGUACUACAAUCGCUUGAAUCGAGUGGGAGUUAAUCUUCCAGAUGAGAUAGUGAUGGUUCUCCAAAGUUACUGCCACCAAGCUACUAGAGCUUCGUGAUGAACUGUAACAUAUUAGGGAUAGAUAUGAUGAUCCUUGAGCAACUCGCGAUGUUUGACACCGCGAAAGUAGAAAUCAAGUAGGAGCAUCAAUUGUUGAUGGUUAGUAAAACCACUAGUUUCAAGAAGGGCAAGGGAAAGAAGGGAUACUUCAUGAAACGGCAAAUCAGUUGCUGCUCUAGUGAAGAAACCCAAGGUUGAACCCAAACCCGAGACUAAGUGCUUCUGUAAUGAGGGGAACGGUCACUGAAGCAAACUACCCUAGAUACUUGGUAGAUGAGAAGGCAGGCAAGGUCGACAGAAGUAUAUUGGAUAUACAUUAUAUUAAUGUUUACUUUACUAGUACUCCUAGUAGCACCAGGGUAUUAGAUACCGGUUCGGUUGCUAAGUGUUGGUAUCUCGAAAUAAAAGGCUACGGAAUAAACAGAGACUAGCUAAAGGUGAGAUGACGAUAUGUGUUGGAAGUGUUUCCAAGGUUGAUGUAAUCAAACAUCAUACGCUCCCUCUACCAUCGGGAUUGGUAUUAAACCUAAAUAAUUGUUAUUUGGUGUUUGCGUCGAGCAUAGACAUGAUUGGAUUAUGUUUAUCACAAUACAGUUAUUCAUUUAAGGAGAAUAAUGGUUACUCUGUUUAUUUGAAUAAUACCUUCAAUGGUCUUGCACCUAAAAUGAAUGGUUUAUUGAAUCUCGAUCGUAGUGAUACACAUGUUCAUGCCAAAAGAUAUAAAAUAGUAAUGAUAGUACCACAUACUUGUGGCACUGCCAUUUGAGUCAUAUUGGUAUAAAACGCAUGAAGAAGCGCCAUGUUGAUGGAUCUUUGGACUCACUCAUUUUUGAAAAGAUCGAGACAUGCAAACCAUGUCUAUUGGUAGAUAUGCAUGAAGAAACUCCAUACAGAUGGAUCGUUUGGACUCACUUGAUUUUGAAUCACUUGAGACAUGCAAAUCAUAACACAUGGGCAAGAUGACUGAAAGGCCUCGUUUUCAGUAAGAUGGCACAAGAAAGCAACUUGUUGGAAGUAAUACAUUUUGAUGUGCGCAGUCCAAUGAGUGCUGAGGCAUGCAGUGGAUAUCGUUAUGUUCUUACUUCACAGAUGAUGUAGCGACCCGACCCAAAUGGAUCAAGUCUCUGUGCUUAAGUGUCAUCCCUGGAUCGGUAUGCUGACACACACAGUACUUGAGGAUUUAUAACAGAGGUAAAUCACAUGUAUAAAAUAACGUAAAUACUAUUACCUCAAUCCAAAUAGCGGAAGUAACAGGGUUGUGGAUUCCCAUCAACACCAACGGCAAAGUUGAGUGUAGAAAUCGUAACCCUAACGUAUCACUUACUCGUCGUAAGAAUCCUGCAACAUGAAACGUUGCAGCCCGAAAACGGGUCAGCACAUGGAAUAUGCUGGCAAAUUCACACCAUAGAGAAAUGUUGAACAAAGGCUAUCACUACAUGCAUAUAUGGCUGGUGGAAAAGCUCUAUUGUUAUAAUGUUUUUGCGAAAAGCCAAUUUUUCCCUACUUCAAAGGAAUAAACUUUAUUUAACUAUCAUGGUGGUUGUGAAACAUUGAGAUGGUUGACAGCAUCUCAAUCCCAAUUAAGUAACAUAAUUAACCCAACAAUAUUGAUUAAAGUAACAUGUUGAGAUCAACGGGAUAAUCCAAGAACUAGAUACUCAAGAUGUCCAUAACCGGGGACACGGCUAACCAUGAUUAGUUUGUACACUCUGCAGAGGUUUGCGCACUUUUCCCCACAAGACUCGAUCGCCUCCGCUUGAUUCUCGCACUGCAUGAUGUUUGAGAAACGGAUGACCGAGACACAGUCUUUCCGAAGAGGUCCCCUUAACCGAUAGAUAGGCCGGUACACCUACAAUCCCCUACAUCUGCUAGCCCAUCAUGGAAAGGUUUCCCACAACUUACUCAACUAUGCUAGAGCCCAUAAUAGCUUGUGGCUGCACACGGAAGUUUCUAGCAUGAAUAAUCUUAUGAUUCCUUUGAGCCUGGGUGGCGGUCCUUAUACAAACAGACAACACUGGGUUCUCCAGGUGCCUCAAUCCACCCAGAUGUGAGUUUUAGUUUCCACCUUAGGUAAACCAUUAUUAUCAAUCUCACAUCUGUCAUGAAUAUCUCUCAAACCCAAUCCACAUCUACGAGCAUAGCAUGGCAAUAUAAUAGCAACGUAGAAGUAACUCCCAAGGGUUUGAUAAUAAACAGGGCAAUAGGUACUACCUCAUCAACUACUUCCCAAUACCCACAUGUUAUCAAUCCUACUCAUGCAAUGUUCGAGGGUUGAAUCUAAUGCAUAAAAACUAGGUAUGAAAGGGAUAUGAUCAAAGUGUGAACUUGCCUGCAAUGUUGAUGAAGAUGAUUCGCACUCAAAACUCUUGAUAGAUCUACUCGUCACACUCCGGUCAAUCUAUCGUAAGCAAGCAAUGGUAACCACACAUAAGCAAUCACUCAAAAGAUCAGAAAGAACGAGGAAAACAAUUCGGAAAACUUCAAAACCAAGCAAUUAACUCUUGCAACAUAAAACAAUUUCUAACAGUACCAAAAUUAUGUGAAUUUGGCCUUAUCAGAAAGUUUAGGUCAAGAGCUUUGGUUUGCAAAAAGAAUCAACUCGAACGGAGUUAUAAAACUCAAGUUAUGAUCAAACGAAGUUUGAAUUCAAAUCUGAUCUAAUUCAAAUUUUAAAACUUUCAAAAACAUGUUUAAGUUGUUUUACUGGAUAGAGGGGAUCAUAACGAAGACGUGGGCGUUGGUUUCGUUGGAUUUGGACAAACGAGUGAAAAGUAGUGAUCGUUUGAAAAUCAGGGACUAAUCUGUAAAUAAAAUAACUACAACUAGGUCCCUGGCGAAAAUAACAGGAAAAAGAAAAAGCUAAAUAGCGAACGUGCGUUAACUAGUUCUAAACAGUGGACGUUCGUUGUUUAGAAAAACCUAAAUAUAACAGAUCUAGUCCAGGGUUUUUUUAACAAAACCAAAACGAAUAAAAAAAAUAAACCGGGGCGGUUCACGGUUUAUACCGGUUCGCGGCGGUCCGGCGGCGGACCGGGUCGGCGGUGGCGGGGUUCGCCGGCGUCAGAGAAGGGCGGCGGCAGCUCGGGCUCGACCGGAGCGGCGGCUCUGGUNNNNNNNNNNNNNNNNNNNNNNNNNNNNNNNNNNNNNNNNNNNNNNNNNNNNNNNNNNNNNNNNNNNNNNNNNNNNNNNNNNNNNNNNNNNNNNNNNNNNNNNNNNNNNNNNNNNNNNNNNNNNNNNNNNNNNNNNNNNNNNNNNNNNNNNNNNNNNNNNNNNNNNNNNNNNNNNNNNNNNNNNNNNNNNNNNNNNNNNNNNNNNNNNNNNNNNNNNNNNNNNNNNNNNNNNNNNNNNNNNNNNNNNNNNNNNNNNNNNNNNGGGCAGAGGAGUCCGAGGCGGGGACGUGGCCAUGGCGGCGCGGCGGCGUGCGGGAGGCGGAGUCCCGCCCGGGAGGUGGGGGACGCGCGGGCGUCGGGCUGGGCCGUGGCCUGGCUGGGUGCUGGGCCGGCCCAGUUCGGCGGAGGGUUUUUUUUUAUAAACAGAGAAAGAAAUAAUAAAAACAAAGAAAAUGAAAAUAUUAUAUAGGCAUAUAAUAUAUCAAAAUUUUCAGAAAAAGAUUUCCAACAACAUGGACAUUUUUACAACGCCAAAUAAAAUUCACACAAAUUUAAAUAAAUCAAACAGUGCUGCUGCCUUAAUAAAAUCCAAUAAAAAUCAUUUUAAAAAUACCAAAAUGAUUUCAAAUUUAUUUUUCUCCAAUUUUCUGAUGUAGGGAAUCAUUUUACCCUAAUUUCUGAAUAUUUUAUUUUUGGAGAAAAAUAAUUUGAAUAAAACUCAAAUAACCCCAAUAUUGAAAAAUAAUUUCAAUGGGACUUUGAUUUUAAUCCUUUGAGACUCCCAACUCAUAUUUCAUUUGUUUUGAAGAAGUCAUUUUAUCUUCUCUCGUGAAAAUCAUUGAGUUGCAUAAAGUUUCAGAAAUGGGAAAUAUUUUCAAAUGAAAUUCAAAUAUUUUCUACACCCCUUGUCAUUUAAAUAAAUGGAAGAAGUCAUGUCAUCUUCUCUCCAGGGUGUUGUGGUGAAAAGAAUUUGAAUUCAUGGAGAUCAUAAAAGCAAAAUGAAAGUUUGGGAAAGUCCUUUUAUCCCCUCUCAUUUAACUUUCAAAAGAUCUCGAAUUCCACUCACUUUCAGUUAAUCAAUCAAACAAUCAACCCAAUAUAUCUGUUUAUUAUAACAUUCCAAAAUUUAGAAUUUUGGGAUGUUACAGAUGAUUUGAGUAGAUGCUGAGUAUAUUUACUUGAUGAAACACAAGUCUGAAUUAUUGAAAGGUUCAAGUAAUUUCAGAGUGAAGUUGAAGAUCGUCGUGACAAAAGGAUAAAAUGUCUGUGAUAAGAUCAUAGAGAUGAAUAUCUGAGUUACGAGUUUGGCACACAAUUAAUACAUUGUGGAAAUUGUUUCACAACUAAUACUGCCUGGAACACCAUAGUGUGAUGGUGUGUCCGAACAUCAUAACUGCACCCUAUUGGAUAUGGUGCAUACCAUGAUGUCUCUUAUCGAAUUAUCGCUAUCGUUUAUGGGCUAGGCAUUAGAGGCAACCGCAUUCACUUUAAAUAGGGCACCACGCAAUUCCGUUGAGACGACACCGUAUGAACUAUGGUUUAGAGAAACCUAAGCUGUCGUUUCUUACAAGUUUGGGGCUGCGAUGCUUAUGUGAAAAAGUUUCAGGCUGAUAAGCUCAAACCCAAAGCGGAUAAAUGCAUCUUCGUAGAAUACCCAAAACAGUUGGGUAUACCUCCUAUUUCAGAUCUGGAAGCAAAAGUGAUUGUUUCUAGAAACGGGUCCUUUCUCGAGGAAAAGUUUCUCUCGAAAGAAUUGAGUGGGAGGAUGGUGGAGACUUGAUGAGGUUAUUGAACCGUCACUUCAACUAGUGUGUAGCAGGGCACAGGAAGUUGUUCCAUUGGCACCUACACCAAUUGAAGUGGAAGCUUAUGAUAGUGAUCAUGAAACUUCGGAUCAAGUCACUUCCAAACCUCGUAGGUCAACAAGGAUGCGUACUACUUCAGAGUGGUACGUAAUCCUAUCUUGGAAGUCAUGUUGCUAGACAACAAUGAACCUACGAGUUAUGGAGAAGCGAUGGUGGGCCCGGAUUCCGACGAAUGGCACGAGGCCAUAAAAUCCGAGAGAGGAUCCAUGUAUAAAAACAAAGUAUAGACUUUGGAAGAACUACUUGAUGGUCGUAAGGCUGUUGGGAGCAGAUGGAUUUUAAAAGGAAGACAGACAAUGAUGGUAAGUGUCACCAUUAAGAAAGCUCGACUUGUCGUUAAGAUGUUUUCCGACAAGUUCAAGGAGUUGACUGCGAUGAGACUUUCUCACUUGUAGCGAUGCUAAGAGUCUGUUGGAAUUAUAUUAGCAGUUACUGCAUUAUUUAUGAAAUCUUGCAGAUAGGAUGUCAAAACAUUGUUUCCUCGACGAUGUUCUUGAGGAAAGGUUGUAUGUGAUACAACCAGAAGGUUUUGUCAAUCCUGAAAGAUGCUAACAAGUAUGCAAAGCUCCAGCAAUCCUUCUAAGGACUGGAGUAAGCAUCUCGGAGUUGGAAUGUACGCUUUGAUGAGAUGAUCAAAGAUUUUGGGUUUUUACAAAGUUUAUGAGAAACUUGUAUUUCCAAAGAAGUGAGUGGGAGCACUAUAGAAUUUUUGAUGAGUAUAUGUUGUUAACAUAUUGUUGAUCAGAAAUGAUGUAGAAUUUCUGGAAAGCAUACAGGGUUAUUUGAAAAGUGUUUUUCAAUGGAAACCCUGGAUUAAGCUACUUGAACAUUGAGAUCAAGAUCUAUAAGGAUAGAUCAAAAAUACUUAAUAGUACUUUCAAAUGAAUACAUACCGUGACAAGAUUUUGAAGGAGUUCAAAAUAGAUCAGCAAAGAAGGAGUUCUUGGCUGUGUUACAAGGUGUGAGUCUUGAGUAAGACUCAAGACCUGACCACGGCAGAAGGGAGAGAAAGGACGAAGGUCGUCCCCUAUGCUUUAGACGUAGGCUCUACAGUAUGCUAUGCUGUGUACCGCACCUGAAGUGUGCCUUGCCAUGAGUUAGUCAAGGGGUACAAUAGUGAUCCAGGAAUGGAUCACAUGACAGCGGUCGAACUUAUCCUUAGUAACUAGUGGACUAAGGAAUUUUCUCGAUUAUGGAGGUGGUAAAAGAGUUCAUCGUAAAGGGUUACGUCGAUGCAAACUUUGACACUAAUCUGGAUGACUCGGAGUAGAAAACCGGAUUCGUAUAGUAGAGCACUUAUUUGGAAUAGCUCCAAGUAGUGCGUGGUAGCUGCAUCUACAAGAUGACAUAGAGAUUUGUAAAGCACACACGGAUCUGAAAGGUUCAGACCCGUUGACUAAAAACCUCUCUCGUAAGCAUAACAUGAUCAAACCCUAGAACUCACUGACUGUUAAUCACAUGGUGAUGUGAACUAGAAACUGCAAUGGAACCUUCCUUGGAGCAUCAGCUGUUGUGUUCGAUGGACUCUCUGAUCCAGCCAGUUUGGAAGCGUGGGCAUGCAAUGAGGCUUUGGCCUUGGGCCAGGACUUGCAUGUUAAGCGACUUCUAAUCGCCUCUGAUUGUGCCGAAGUAAUCACCAAUAUGAGCCGAGACACAGCUUUAGUUUAUGCGCCAAUUCUGCAUGAGAUAGCUAUUCGCAGAAGGAAUUUUGAGCAUGUUCUCUUUCGUCAUGAACCGAGGGAAUGUAUUAGUGAGGCUCAUAGAUUAGCUAAGGCCGCGUCGACUCUUGACGUGGGCCGCCAUGUGUGGCUAGGGAGUGUCCCGGACAUUAUUUGUAUUCCAAACUCUUUGAACUUUGAAUAAAUCCCUAGUUACACCUCAAAAAAAAAAUA
rnacentral:lncRNA from 1 species